GUCAUCCCCAGACACAAUGGACAGUAUGCUGUUAUAAUUGUGUGGCAUUGUCCUUGCUGUUCAGAGAUAAU
rnacentral:pre_miRNA from 1 species